GCAGGGGUAGCCAAGCCUGGCCAAAGGCGCCAGACUCAAGAUCUGGUCCCGGAGGGGUUCAGGAGUUCGAAUCUCCUCCCCUGCA
rnacentral:tRNA from 2 species